rnacentral:tRNA from 2 species
AAGAAAGUCAUAAUGGUUAUGGGGCUGGCUUGAAACUAGUCUUAGGAAGUUCGAUUCUUCCCUUUCUUG